GACUAGUUUCAAGCCAGCCGCAUAGCCACUCUGCCACUUUCUUUUCAUGAGACACUAGUAAAACCGUUU
rnacentral:tRNA from 1 species